UGAGACCGAUGCGCGUUAAUCCGUCCUCCCGUCGCGGUCUCUCCUCACGGGGUUUUCGCUUCGGGACCAAAGGGCGGCGCGCUCCGCUUUGGUGACUCUGGAUAACUCACUGGUCGAUCGCACGGGCUUCACGCCCGGCGACGGGUCUCUCGAGGGUCCGCCCUAUCAACU
rnacentral:rRNA from 1 species